ACAACAAAAAAGCAUCCUUUAAUGUGCAAUAUUUUAUAGCAGUGAAUAGUGUGAAAUGCUGAUCAUGGGGAAAGUGUCAUCUGGUUCAGAGUGACUCAGAAGAUCUGAGCUCAGUUCCCAUCUUUCCCGUUGGUCUUCUCUAUGACCUUUAGCUAGGUAGUUAAAUAAAUUGGACACAAGUAGCUAACACACCUUCCGUUAUUUUGGAAAUCUUGCUGGGUGCCAGCUUGUAUCGCUAGGUGCAAAAUAUGAUAAUGCUCCUGAAAGUGUUGACCACCAUCAUGUCUGAUCUCUCUGGAUGUUCCUGUCAUGCAAGUGGUAGCUACUAACAAGUGGAAUGAAAAAUGACUCUGUUCUACAUUUCCUAUAUCUAAUUAUAUCAUUUUCUUUUCUGAAAACAGACAGGGGAAUGAAAAGUUUCUUGGUGUGACAGUGGACUAGUUUAUAAUGAAGCAAGUUUUUCAAAAUAGCUUAGAUUUUUGACAUUUUUUUCCAGAGAAUGACAUGUUAAAAAGCUACUAGCUGGCUGGGAAAUGUAAGUACUGUAUUUGUCAGAAAUUUCUUCAGGAACCUGACAGAACAAUGGUGCAAUAUAUGACAAAGUACAAUUAGUAACAUCAAUAACUUUAUAUUAGCUGUUAUACUGGUGUCUGUUCUAGAACAGUUAUUACAAGAGUGAGUUGGCAAGGCAGCAGUUCUUCAAUUUAACUUUCACCUUCAUCCAGUCUUGCUGUUAAAACUCUCUCUCUUUCAAGUAAUGCUUUCUCCUCCCUGUUCCUCUUGUGUGAUGCCUAUUAGUACUACCUGUACCUGUUGCAAAAUUUACCUAUGUGCUAAUUUUUGCAGGCCAUAAAAGAAAUCAUAUUAAUUUCUUCAGACAUUUUUAGAAUCUCUAUGUUCUUCAACAUUACCAAAGCUCUAGGUGGAAGAUAAAAAUGGGAGAAAAUGUUAAAAGACAAGAGAAGCAAACAGAUUAAUUCUUUAUAAAAGAGAGGCAAUUAAAUAGUUAUACUUGAAGAACAUGUUUUACAUUUGUCAACUCUACCAGCCUCUCUUUUGAUAUUAAAAAAAUAUUGUAGUUAAAGAGACAGCUUUCCUUUGCUACCCUUCCCCUGUGGUAGUCACUGUAAAACUUGUUCUUUUGGUUCAUUUUCCUUCUUACUUCACUUUUUUCUCUGUGCAUUUCUAAAUAUGCAUCUUCUAAAGCAGCUGUAUUACAGGCUGGCAAUGAACCUUUGAUUCCUCUUAAUAAUAAUAUCUGAAGUCAGCUGAUGGGGCUGUGCUAAGUAAUUACCCUGGACUCAAUGAGGACUCAGACCA